rnacentral:rRNA from 1 species
AUGCACGCUGGCGGCGUGCCUAAUACAUGCAAGUCGAGCGAACAGACGAGGAGCUUGCUCCUCUGACGUUAGCGGCGGACGGGUGAGUAACACGUGGAUAACCUACCUAUAAGACUGGGAUAACUUCGGGAAACCGGAGCUAAUACCGGAUAAUAUAUUGAACCGCAUGGUUCAAUAGUGGAAGACGGUUUUGCUGUCACUUAUAGAUGGAUCCGCGCCGCAUUAGCUAGUUGGUAAGGUAACGGCUUACCAAGGCAACGAUGCGUAGCCGACCUGAGAGGGUGAUCGGCCACACUGGAACUGAGACACGGUCCAGACUCCUACGGGAGGCAGCAGUAGGGAAUCUUCCGCAAUGGGCGAAAGCCUGACGGAGCAACGCCGCGUGAGUGAUGAAGGUCUUCGGAUCGUAAAACUCUGUUAUUAGGGAAGAACAAAUGUGUAAGUAACUAUGCACGUCUUGACGGUACCUAAUCAGAAAGCCACGGCUAACUACGUG